rnacentral:rRNA from 1 species
UGCAGUCGACGGCAGCACGGGGGCAACCCUGGUGGCGAGUGGCGAACGGGUGAUAAUACAUCGGAACGUGUCCUGUAGUGGGGGAUAGCCCACCGAAAGCCGGAUUAAUACCGCAUACAACCUAAGGGAGAAAGCGGGGGAUCUUCCGACCUCGCGCUAUAGGGGCGGCCGAUGGCUGAUUAGCUAGUUGGUGGGGUAAAGGCCUACCAAGGCGACGAUCUGUAGCUGGUCUGAGAGGACGACCAGCCACACUGGGACUGAGACACGGCCCAGACUCCUACGGGAGGCACCAAUGGGGAAUUUUGGACAAUGGGGGAAACCCUGAUCCAGCAAUGCCGCGUGUGUGAAGAAGGCCUUCGGGUUGUAAAGCACUUUUGUCCGGAAAGAAAACCUCUUGGAUAAUACCUGAUGGGGAUGACGGUACCGGMAGAAUAAGCACCGGCUAACUACGUGCCAGCCACCGCGGUAAUACGUAUGGUGCGAGCGUUAAUCAAUUACUGGGCGUAGCGUGCGCAGCGGUUUGUAAACAGAUGUGA